UACGAAGGGUGCAAGCGUUACUCGGAAUUACUGGGCGUAAAGCGUGCGUAGGCGGUUUGUUAAGUCCGUUGUGAAAGCCCUGGCUCAACCUGGGGAAUUGCAGUGGAUACUGGCGAGCUAGAGUGCGGUAGAGGAUGGUGGAAUUCCCGGUGUAGCGGUGAAAUGCGUAGAGAUCGGGAGGAACACCCGUGGCGAAGGCGGCCAUCUGGACCAGCACUGACGCUGAGGCACGAAAGCGUGGG
rnacentral:rRNA from 1 species